rnacentral:lncRNA from 12 species
UCCAACUGGCCGGUGUAUAUACCUUGCUCUUUUAUUGAGGGGGGCGGGAGAUACGCAAAGAGAUUCAGUCUGCCACACAGCUGGAAACACAGGCCAUUCCAGAGAUUCCUUUAAAAAUCAGAUUAAAGUUUUCUAACAAGGGUGUGGGGGUUUGUUUCUGGGCUUCAGUUGGAUCUUGGAGGAUGAGUUGGUCCCAGAGAAGAAACUUAGAGACCCUUACCAUCAGCUGCCCAUUUAAAGCAGGGAGUAUACUGGGGGGGGGGGGGGGAGCGGGGGAAGGGUUGGGGAGCCGGAGCACACAGGGCCAGGAGGUAGGGGAGAGGGAGAGACUGGAGCAACCUAUGUGCACAGCCUUUCCAUAUACUAUGUCCUGGGGCGCCUGCUAGUAGUAAACGACGGCAUCAGCCGAGAGGAAGAGCAGCUCCUCACGUCCCGCUUAAGGAUGGUCCCGAAACCCCAGAUGUCCCGUCGCCUCCUCGCCUCCUCCUCCUCCGCUGAGAGCCGCAGAUCAGUUCACGUUGACAGAUUAGAGGGGAAAUGUGCCAGAGUUUAUGGGAAUGCCAACCAACCCCGAAUGCCAACCAGUCCCUGCACUUUGGCCACUCACUGCAAAAGCCUGGUGCUGAGAUCUGAUGAGACCUGUCCCACAUAAAUCACAUCCUACCGGGAUGCCUGCAAGUCCUCUCGCUGAGGCUGUCACCCAAGCCUGUUCAGAGAAUCCUUAACGAUUUCGUCUGCACAGACGUUGAUUCUCAUUUCUCUGCACUAAUUAUUUACUUCAGUUUAUGCUUUCAAUCUGUAAGUAUUAUCGCCAUCUUCAGCACGCAAAGACCUGUCUUCCUUCUCUUGAAACCAUGACUUCACUUGAGAUAACUUGGGGUGGCUUUAGAGCAUGACUUUCUCACUAUUUCGUGUGUCUUCAUUUUGCCUUCCCAAACCAGACGGUAAAUUCCUUGAAAGAGGAGACCUGAAAAUUGGUAAUACUUUAUAUAGACAGAAAGUACCACCAACAACAUUUGGACAAAAAGACUGUUGUUGUUCUUAGUAAUCGAGAAAAUUUGCCUUAAUGUGUUCAGAAGACUCUAGAUCAUUUGCUCUAACAUAUGUCUCUUCUCCUUUCCCCUGCCUGCCCUCUGCUGGAACUGCUAAUGAGCAAUAAGAGGGUAAAAGCAGGAUGCUGUGUGGGAAACAGGAAAAUAGGGACUUGUCUGAUUGAAAAGCAAGUUGGGUAACCAUGAUUUGUGAGUUCACAACCUAGAUCUUUGAAGCUCCUCGUUAUUUGCCCUUGGAUAACUAGCAGUCUCAUUACAAGACACCUUAUGGGUUCUGCUGUGCUUGGGGAUGUG